GUCCAUCCUGGGAAAAAAGCCUGUUACUCCAGGUCUGGUCUCCACAGCCCCCUGGCACCGAGCAGGGAACUUGGUCAGGGCCAGAAAGGAUCUGUCUUAUGCUGGACUCCGGGGAGCCCUAACAGACUGGGGCUGCUUCUCUCUGGAUGUGGCCCUGUGUCUAGACACUUCUGCUCUCCCAGAAGCCUGGACUUUCUACUCCAGCCUUCAGCAGACACUGGGUUUUCCUCACAUGCUACUGUCUUCGUGGAUGACAUACUCAGGAAUAAAUGGAAAUUGCAGCAGUUGUGUCAGGUCACUCUAACCCGGCCAUGGUCCACCGCCCAUUCUGCCCUUCUGAAAUCAAAGAUCCUGCAAGACGAAAGCUUUCUCAGAACUCCUUUGGUAGCGACACUUGACGUGAACCAACAGGAGGCUGUUUAUUGUCUUUAUUUUUCCCUCUUCGUGUGAACAUGCGUGCAUACAGCUGCGGAAAUAUGAAUGCAUUUGACUCAAUGGUGUUACCUCCGCAUCUGCUGGUCGUGGUUGGUAAUAUACAGGCAUCACAUUACCUUUCAAAAAUCCCCCAAAUCCUGCAGUCUGAGCCCUGAGAGUUUCUAACAGGGGCCUUGGGAUCCAAAGAUAUAAAGUACUUGGAACAGUGUCAUCAUUUAGAAAGCACUAGAUAAGUGAUCUCUAUUAAACAAUGAGAACCACACUGGUCCCAGUCCUUAAGAAGUUCAUGAGUAGAAGAUAGGAGUCAGAAAUGUAAAAGUGACUAUUGUGGCUGGAAGUAGAAUACAAGUGGUGGCAAGAAGGGGGCGGGAGUUUUAAGCAUAAGGUGGUCUAAUAUCCCAUUUUAUGUUGCUUGCUAUACUGGCCUGUGAUGUAAUCAACACACACACACACACGCACGCGCGCGUGCACACACACACACACACACAUACACUGCCAUUGCCCAAAGCACUCAGUAAAGUCUAUUACAAACAGAGCCUUGAGUUGGGAGCACUACUUGGAUGGAAAAGGGAGCAGGCCCACCAAACAGAGACUCCAUGCUAAUUGCUUAUUGAUCAAGGAUGAGAAGGAAAUAAAAUGAACGCGUUAUUAACA
rnacentral:lncRNA from 1 species